GACGAACGCUGGCGGCGUGCUUCAUACAUGCAAGUCGAACGAGAAGUCACCUUCGGGUGAUGGAAAGUGGCGGACGGGUGAGUAAUGUGUAGAGAAUCUGCCCUUGAGUGGGGGACAACAGUUGGAAACGACUGCUAAUACCCCAUAUGAGCUUAGCUGAAAUGCUAAUCUUGAAAACUCCGGUGCUCAAGGAUGAGUCUGCAUCUGAUUAGCUAGUUGGCGGUGUAAUGGACCACCAAGGCUACGAUCAGUAGCUGGUUUGAGAGGAUGAUCAGCCACAAUGGGACUGAGACACGGCCCAGACUCCUACGGGAGGCAGCAGUGGGGGAUAUUGCACAAUGGGGGAAACCCUGAUGCAGCGACGCCGCGUGAGGGAAGACGGUCCUCUGGAUUGUAAACCUCUGUCUUCGGGGACGAAACGAGACGGUACCUGAGGAGGAAGCCACGGCUAACUACGUGCCAGCAGCCG
rnacentral:rRNA from 1 species